GACGAACGCUGGCGGCGUGCUUAACACAUGCAAGUCGAACGGAAAGGCCCCUUUGGGGGUACUCGAGUGGCGAACGGGUGAGUAACACGUGAGUAACCUGCCCUUGACUUCGGGAUAACUUCAGGAAACUGGGGCUAAUACCGGAUAGGAAUCCUUGCUGCAUGGUGGGGGUUGGAAAGCUUCGGCGGUUUUGGAUGGACUCGCGGCUUAUCAGCUUGUUGGUGGGGUAGUGGCUUACCAAGGCUUUGACGGGUAGCCGGCCUGAGAGGGCGACCGGCCACAUUGGGACUGAGAUACGGCCCAGACUCCUACGGGAGGCAGCAGUGGGGAAUAUUGCACAAUGGGCGGAAGCCUGAUGCAGCAACGCCGCGUGCGGGAUGACGGCCUUCGGGUUGUAAACCGCUUUCAGCAGGGGCGAAGCUUGUGGUGACGGUACCUGCAGAAGAGGCACCGGCUAACUACG
rnacentral:rRNA from 1 species